rnacentral:rRNA from 1 species
UAAGAGGUAAUUAAAAAAUUAGGAUUAUUAAUAGUUAUAUUCUUUAAAAUUAAAGAUUUUGGCGGUAUUUUAGUCUUUUCAGAGGAACCUGUUCUAUAAUUGAUAAUCCACGAUUAAUUUAACUUUUAUUAUUAAUUUGUAUAACGUCGUAGAGGAAUAUCUUAAAAGAGUUAAAUAUUCAAGAUUUAUUAUUAUAAAUUAAAUCAGAUCAUGUUGCAGUUUAUAUAAAAGGAGAAAUGGGUUACAAUAUUAUUAAAUAGACGAAUUAAUUUAUUUAAAAUUAUUAUGAAGGUGGAUUUGAAAGUAAUUAUAUAUAUAUUUAUUUAAUGAUUUAAGCUCUAAAAUAUGU